CACAGUCAAAACCUUGCCGGGAAGUAGUCAACAAAUGACAAGUUAAAUUUUUCGUAAUAUCAAUGAAGAAAGUUUGCAGGUAACACAAAAAUACAAUGAUAAGUGCUACUAUAUGCAGUAAAUGAAAACUCACUAGAACUAUCCACAUGACCACCCAGCACUCUGCAGCAAGCCAACAACAGUUUUCAUCUUGAUACAGUGAUAUGCUUCGACAAACAGCUGAGUGCUAAAGUGUAUUUUUUUUUUGUUACGGUGAAGAUUUUCCUGACAUUCAGUAACAUUGAGUAUUCGAUCAUGAUAUUCAUGUGGUGAUAUUCAUGACAAUAUCCAUUGUGAUGGGAAUGCAGCUCAAGGCAAUGUCGUGUGGAUGACGACACGAAGCCCCACCAUGAAACACACACAAAGGGGCAGAAUUCAAGGAACAAAUCAUAUCUUCACAUCACUUAGAAUAUCGUACUGUCUAAAAGGAGGCAACAAGAGUAGCGUGGACACACCGCAGGUCACCAUGAAGCCAGUGCUGUCUGUGAGUGGCACGCUUCUCAACACCCGCCACCGUUGAGGACACCAAAUACUUGGAGAGACUCACGCUUCGCCAGGCAUCCUGCUUGCCUUUGUCUGCAGUGCUGUGACUCAUUGCUGUGGCCCCUGCACAGCCAGUCCUACCUCUACAUCGUCAGACUCCAGUUGUCUAGACUCAAUUCUCAUCACAGUCGCUACCAACUACCAAGCCUCACCCCGGCCACCCGGCUAGCAAGCCUCAUCACAUCCACUCGACUACCAAGCCUCC